ensembl:lncRNA
GGACAACAAGGAGGAGAAAAGCAGACAGACAACGUGGAGGCUGCCUUGUAUACAGGAUGGAUUCUCCGUGAUGUUACUUUGAAUAUGGUCUUGGCAUAGGAAACAUCAGGAAGUAUUCACCAAUUCAAGAAUUUGAGUGUUUGUGAAGUUUUCAUUCAUUACAAAAAUGAUCCAAGUCAAGUAAAUACAGCCAACACUUCAAGGUACCCAAGGAAGUAAGAAAAAGUUUUGUCUCUAGGAUUGUGCUUGGAAUAUGCUACAAAAAUGUCAGAGAUAAAGAAGAAAACCACUAGAGUUUCUCUGACCAUCAGUUCCCCAGUUAAUGAAACCUCCAACAUCAGAUCAAGUUAUUCUACCUUAGUUCAACCAUUGUGUAUUGACCCCCAGAGGAUGCAGAGUCCCUGCAGCAGCCUGUCAGGAUCCACUUGCACUGCAGCCCCUGUGUUUACCAAGGUAACCUAUCCUUUACUACACGAUGGAGUUUGACUUUAUAGAUAAAUUGUAGACAUUAUCGACCCCGGGGUGGGGGUGGAGGGCGGGUAAUCAGGAUUUAAGGGGGAAAUUUACCACAAUCGCCACCCCUUCAUUUAUGCAUUGUGAGACUAAACUAGCUAUUGUUAAUAAACAUUUUUUGUAUAUCAAUAUAACUCUUCAUUCUUUAAGAAAAGUUUUCAGAUUGUUUAUCUGAAACGAGCCUUGAACCCUCAGAGUAGGCUGGGCUUUUUGCUAGCCCUAUUUCACAGAUCAAGAACCUGAGUUCCACAGAGGUUAAGAGUCUUUUCCGAGUCCUGUGAUCAGCUUCAACUAGCUGGUCACAGUGUUGAGAUUUGGGCCCAUGUCCUCUAAGUCAUGAUUCAGAGCCCUUAACAAAUUACAAUGCUGCCCAUGCUCCUGUGACCAACAGUAAAGACUAAAUCUGUGACUAGGUAUGUACUCAACAAAAUAAUCUAACACAACAAACUGAAGACUUCUCCACUCACCUGUUUUCCAUUUUGAAAAAUGGCUCUUGGGGAAGUGAAUAACAAGUUUCUCAUUAAAAACAACUCUAUGAAGUUAAGAUAAAAAUAACCUAUACCUGACUGUAAAGCACACUAUAAAGCACAAAAGAAUGCCCAGCAGCUCCUCAUUUUGAU